rnacentral:rRNA from 1 species
UACGAAGGGGGGCAAGCGUUGUUCGGAAUUACUGGGCGUAAAGGGCGCGUAGGCGGCCGAUCAAGUCAGGCGUGAAAUUCCCGGGCUCAACCUGGGGGCUGCGCUUGAUACUGAUUGGCUUGAAUGCGGGAGAGGAUAGUGGAAUUCCCAGUGUAGAGGUGAAAUUCGUAGAUAUUGGGAGGAACACCAGUGGCGAAGGCGGCUACCUGGACCGGUUCUGACGCUGAUGCGCGAAAGCGUGGGUAGCAAACAGG